GCCUGACUCCGGCGCGCCCAAGCCCCGGCCGAGGCUGGAGUAGCUGCUCUGGCAUGCCGCCGUUCCCCUCCUGGACCGAGCAGAUCCGUUGGAGAAGGUGGGGACCUGCAGGGCGUGCGGUCGGCUGGGUGCAGCGCUGCUUCGCCGGGAUGCCGCCGGAGGUCGUCGAGGCGCACAUCAAGACGGGAGGCCGAUGCACACUCGUCAGACAGAGAUUCAAGGCACAACAACAAACCUAUGGAUGAAGAAGUCGCGGGAGCUCCUUCCAUGCCGAAGAACACCGUAGAUGCUCGUCCACGUGAGAGGGCAAUUCUCUAUCGAUCCUGAUCUAUUCUCGUCUCAUCCACAAUGGAGUAGAUAGAUAGGAGAAAGGGUGUUGGAGAUUUUGGCGGCAGUCUGUUGAUACGCGGGAGAAAGAAAGGCAGUUUUGCUGAUUUUCUGU